GGAGACAUGGUGAACUGUACCGAGACUUGCAGUAGUCUGUAAGUGAUGACUUGUGAAUCAGGUCUCCAACUACUUGUGAGGAUAACUUGACCCACACUGAUGCAGACGCUCAACAUUCAGCUUCAAAGUUGCUGAUCCUGAGUAAGAAACACUAAUGGUUCUGUCUCCACAGGUCAGAAGCUUGUCGGCAGCUAUAAAUUGCAGAGACCCUCGGCAGUGACUUAAGACCGGGCCUGUGAACAAUCCUCCUAUGGAACUGAAGAUCAUUGGUCAUCGGGAUCGAAGGACCAUCAUUGAUACCAUGUGCAGAAUCUGACUUUCAUGUAUUUAUAAUAAACCUGUGUUUCUUGAUGUAAA